CCACCAUUCAUUAUUUUAUUUUGUUUUAUUUUGCUUUUUCUCCUCCUGACAUGUCUGCAGUUCUGUCCUUUGCUCUGGCAAAAACAUGCUGUUGCAGCUAGCCAACUCACUUGCCAUGAGCAAUGCAGCUGUGCCAAGUCAGAGCUCAGCAUAUGCUGGACACCUCUGGAGGUGGGAAUGUGACUUCCAUGUGGAUGUCUAAGCUAGAUGCAACAUCUCUGUGGUGUGAGAACAUCUGAGAAGGGGGCUUCCUGGGGGUCUGCCGGUGUGUUUUGCUGUUCAGCUCUGUCAGGUUCUCAGGACAGGAGGUGACUUUGCAUUUGUUUUGUGUGUGGUAAAGCACCCUGGAGCAGGGCUCAGUACUUACUGUAUAAUGCUGACCCUCCAUUUUGAAACUCUGAGAAAUCAUGAAUUUUAUAUAUGUUUUUCUCCUGUAACCUAGCCUGGAUGAUUCCUUAAGUUCUAUUCUGUUUUCACUUGCACUGCUAGACCUCAGCAAUUUAGUUGAUUUCGGUUGUAGGAGAGCGUAAUGUGUUUCUAAUGUUAAAAAAAAAAAAAAAAAAAAAAAAAAAAAAAGGAAGAAAGUGCCCAAUUUGAAUUACUACAGAGAUAUAUAUGGUCUAAAUGUGGACCACUUUUCAGAACAGAAAUUGCCUGCAAGACUGAGACUUCUGUCCUUCAAAUACUUGGGCUGAUACUUUAAGCUUGUGAAUGUCCUGCUUGAAGGUGGGACUCUCAAUUGCUUAAUGUUAAACAUGUGCAUAAAUGUUUGUCAGACUAAGUUUGCAACUUUUUUUCUCAAGGCAUCUACAAUUUACUGUGUGCAUUCGCUAGGCAACUUUAAACAAUGCACCUUUAUUCUGUUUACAGCAGCUAUGGAUCUAUUUCUCUGUGUUUGUGGAAAUCCACAUUUGGCAUUUUCAGAGAUGCCUGAGCCAAGCUCAAACCUCAGUGUUUGGAUAUGGGGUGAUGGUAGACACAUGUCUUGUCAGUUCCACGGUUUUGUUAUUUUUUAAAUGUAUUUGAUUAUACACUGGGCUUAUAUAAUGAAAACAAAGCUUUCAUUAGUCUGGUUUGGGAAGGGCUGUGGUUGAAGCUGGGGGGAGAGGAAUGACAGAAAAGGAUCAUGGGGAGGGAAGCAGGGUAGAAUGAAGGAAGACAAACAACCAAUGGUGCUACAGCAAGUGAGGGGCAAACUUCUGAAGAGAGCAUUUGAGAGAUGAGUGGUUAAGAGCUGGCUCUCUCCCAGCUCCUUUGGAGAAAUCAAGUGGACUAGUGAUCCAGAUGUGUUCCUGAGUAUGAGCUGCAGGUAUCUUUCUGCCUUUGUGUGAGGCUAGCUAGUGUGAGCAAGAGGCUCAAGGAGCCUGGGAGUUGUGGGGUUUAACACUGUAAAAGUUCCUUGGCUCUCACACUUGCUGUUUCCCAGGUGGUAGAAAGAGGGUACCAGGUGCCUUCCAUAGGUGGGCUCUUCUGGAUUUUGGGGAGAUAAAUAAACGGGCACCAGAAGGAUUAGAGAGUGGAAAAUAGUGGUCCCCUCAAGACUGCAUUUUAAAUUAAAUUAAAAUUCAUUAGUUUUGAUGUAAUGUUUUUAUAAGUUGUAUAGCAUUCAGCAUUGUGAGAUCUGGUCAAAUGAGAAGCAGGGGUGAACAAAGUCUAUACAUAUAUCUCUUUGCUAAGGACAUAUUUCACCAAUCAGAAAUUGAAAUGCUGUGUAAUUAAGAUGCCUGGAUCUCAGACAGUCUGAGACAGAAUGGUUGUCCAGUCACAUCUGUCCUGUGCUCUCUUUACAGGGUCUCUUCACAGGUUAGCAGCAGUAAUGAACUUAACCAAAGUGAAGAUAAUUUAUGGUGAUACGCGGACCAUGGAAAGUGGGCUGAAGUUUUUCAUGGAAAAAACAAGGAGAUUUGCUGGCAAAUCACCUUGUGAAGAAGAUAGGAGAGAAAUCAUCAGCUCUGGCUUCUGAUGGUCGAUGAGCAAGACUUCAUUGUGCACUUUUUCUGACCUACAACUUGCAUGUGGAAUGUGCAUAAUCUUGUGCAAGUGAGUGGGCAAUUUGAAGUUAUGCUCUUUACCAAGAGAGGCUAUGAAGCUCAGCAGAGAGUGGAGAGUUUCAUCACAUUACAUAGCAGCCCAAGAUUUUGUAGAAGUCUAUAACCUGUGGAAUUGAUUUCCAGUCAUGUUCUUCUACCAGCUGAGCCUGAUAAGACCUAAAUCCCAGCUCACUUUUUCCAGUGUGUGCUAAGAGCAAUUGGAAUGACUAACAGACAAGGCACGCUGGCACAAUGAGCUGUGAAGAGCUGAGAAUGUGAACUAGUUUUCCCUACUGCAGAAGAAAAGUUGUAUUUAAAUUCUUAUAUGAAAUGGAAGAUAUUUAACUUACAUUAUAUAAAAGUUCUAAAUUGGUUAUCUAAAUUGCAUAUUUCUGUCUCAGGUUCAGUGAAGUGUCUCACUUCAUAGGAAGAUUUUAAUGGAGGCGU